rnacentral:rRNA from 1 species
AUACGUAGGGUGCGAGCGUUAAUCGGAAUUACUGGGCGUAAAGCGUGCGCAGGCGGUUGUGUAAGACAGGUGUGAAAUCCCCGGGCUUAACCUGGGAACUGCGCUUGUGACUGCACGGCUAGAGUACGGCAGAGGGGGGUGGAAUUCCACGUGUAGCAGUGAAAUGCGUAGAUAUGUGGAGGAACACCGAUGGCGAAGGCAGCCCCCUGGGCCGAUACUGACGCUCAUGCACGAAAGCGUGGGGAGCAAACAGGAUUAGAUACCCUGGUAGUCCACGCCCUAAACGAUGCCAACUAGUCGUUCGUAAAGGUAACUUUGUGAGUGACGAAGCUAACGCGUGAAGUUGGCCGCCUGGGGAGUAUGGUCGCAAGAUUAAA